UAAGACGAAGGAUGCAAGCGUUAUCCGGAUUCAUUGGGUUUAAAGGGAGCGUAGGUGGCCUUAUAAGUCAGUGGUGAAAUCUCUCGGCUUAACCGAGAAAUUGCCAUUGAUACUGUAGGGCUUGAGUAUAGUUGCCGUUGGCGGAAUAUGACAUGUAGUGGUGAAAUACAUAGAGAUGUCAUAGAACACCGAUUGCGAAGGCAGCUGACGAAACUAUAACUGACACUGAGGCUCGAAAGUGCGGGGAUCAAACAGGAUUAGAUACCCUGGUAGUCCGCACUGUAAACGAUGAUUACUCGCUGCUAGAGGGCAACUUUUAGUGGCUUAGCGAAAGCGAUAAGUAAUCCACCUGGGGAGUACGCCGGCAACGGUG
rnacentral:rRNA from 1 species